AUGGCCAGUGUUGUCGGGUCGUUCCUCGCCGUCACCCUCAUGGUGGUGGUGGUGGCCACAUCAUCCACGCCGGUGGUGAAGGGGGAUGACAAGUCUGCUUGCGUCGACGACUACUCCAAGCUGUGCGGCAAGGACCCAGCGUGCACCACCAUGGUCGAGACCGCCUGCCGCGACAAUGGCGAGAGCGUCGAGUCCAUCAAGGGCAUGUUCAGCGCGCUCUCCAUUGUCGGUGGAGACAACUAUGAUUUCGCUUCUAUGGCAUGGCCAUGGGGGCACGCGGCCCUCUGCGCGGCCGUCAACGAGCAUGGGGGCUGCCCCGGCAACAAGACGGUCAGGCAGUUUGCCGGCGAGCACUGCAUGAAGGACCUCGACGCGGCAUGCAAGGAUCCCACCUGCGCCGACGGUGCUCACAUCGAAUGCUACGGUACAGCUUCGAGAUUUUGCUACAUCAAGGCCACCACCGCCGACCAGGACGCCAUAUAUGCCAACAUGGAUUGCUUCGUGAGCUGUUGUGCCAAGAAGAAGACGAGUGAAGAGUGCCGCAAAGUAUGCAUCCUCAACAAGUGA
rnacentral:rRNA from 1 species